rnacentral:rRNA from 1 species
CAGUCGAGCGAAUGGAUUGAGAGCUUGCUCUCAAGAAGUUAGCGGCGGACGGGUGAGUAACACGUGGGUAACCUGCCCAUAAGACUGGGAUAACUCCGGGAAACCGGGGCUAAUACCGGAUAACAUUUUGAACUGCAUGGUUCGAAAUUGAAAGGCGGCUUCGGCUGUCACUUAUGGAUGGACCCGCGUCGCAUUAGCUAGUUGGUGAGGUAACGGCUCACCAAGGCAACGAUGCGUAGCCGACCUGAGAGGGUGAUCGGCCACACUGGGACUGAGACACGGCCCAGACUCCUACGGGAGGCAGCAGUAGGGAAUCUUCCGCAAUGGACGAAAGUCUGACGGAGCAACGCCGCGUGAGUGAUGAAGGCUUUCGGGUCGUAAAACUCUGUUGUUAGGGAAGAACAAGUGCUAGUUGAAUAAGCUGGCACCUUGACGGUACCUAACCAGAAAGCCACGGCUAACUACGUGCCAGCAGCCGCGGUAAUACGUAGGUGGCAAGCGUUAUCCGGAAUUAUUGGGCGUAAAGCGCGCGCAGGUGGUUUCUUAAGUCUGAUGUGAAAGCCCACGGCUCAACCGUGGAGGGUCAUUGGAAACUGGGAGACUUGAGUGCAGAAGAG